GACGAACGCUGGCGGCGUGCUUAACACAUGCAAGUCGAGCGGUAAGGCCCUUUCGGGGGUACACGAGCGGCGAACGGGUGAGUAACACGUGGGUGACCUGCCCUCAGCUCUGGGAUAAGCCUGGGAAACCGGGUCUAAUACUGGAUAUGACUCCAUGACGCAUGUUGUGGGGUGGAAAGCCUUGUGCGGCUGAGGAUGGGCCCGCGGCCUAUCAGCUUGUUGGUGGGGUGANGGCCUACCAAGGCGACGACGGGUAGCCGGCCUGAGAGGGCGACCGGCCACACUGGGACUGAGACACGGCCCAGACUCCUACGGGAGGCAGCAGUGGGGAAUCUUGCGCAAUGGGACGAAAGCCUGACGCAGCGACGCCGCGUGAGGGAUGACGGCCU
rnacentral:rRNA from 1 species